GGCCUCAGUGGUGUUGUGGUAGCACUCGUCCCCGGCAUUGACGAAACGCGGGUUCGACUCCUGGUUGAGGUCG